UACAGAGGUCUCAAGCGUUGUUCGGAUUUAUUGGGCGUAAAGGGCGCGUAGGUGGCGCCGUAAGUCGGGUGUGAAAUCUCGGAGCUUAACUCCGAAACUGCAUUCGAUACUGCGGUGCUUGAGGACUGGAGAGGAGACUGGAAUUCAUGGUGUAGCAGUGAAAUGCGUAGAGAUCAUGAGGAAGACCAGUGGCGAAGGCGGGUCUCUGGACAGUUACUGACACUGAGGCACGAAGGCCAGGGGAGCAAACGGG
rnacentral:rRNA from 1 species